UGACACGUUAUGUUUUGGGAUAUAAUAACUUAAGGGUUAAAAUGUCUUUUUCAUUAUAUUGUAAUUUUAUAUUCUAAUUUAAGUGAAAAUCAUUAAUCAGACUGCUAACAUUUAUCUAUUGGUACUUAAUAUUUAAAGAUCACAAUCAUUUCUUUUUUAGUGCAUCACUAUUAUGUGUUUAUGUCAGUCUACGGAACUAAACUUUUCUUUUUCUUUUUUUAAACCAAUCAAGAUCAAAUUAACAAUAAAAAAUUAUAAAUUGUGUAAUCCUAGUCUUUACCUCAGUAAAUGUUAAAAAAAAACUCUACUACACUGAUUUAUCCAGUCAUACCUGUAUAUAGUAAUGUUUGUAGGAAGGUUGGAAUGUUAUAAUCGCUUCAUGACACUUUAAUCAUCACAUGACAGUUUACAUUACAUGAAGGUUUCUGCUUACAGUGACUAGCAUGAGGAAAUGCACCUUUAUUAUUAAAAUGGAUGUUGGGCUGUGAUUUGAACCACUGUAAUAAAGCAAAAGAAAACAAAUGGACCUCUGUGUAUUCUUCUAAACCUUGGGCAUAGAUCACCAAACUCAGCACGAAACAGAGCGAAAACUGCAGAAUUAGAAGCAUUAAACCACAGCCGAGUUUCUCUGUGACAUUAUUCUCAUUUUCAUGAACACCGAAACUUUAAACAAGGAUAAAGAGUUUGGGAGCAAGAUCAUCUUUCACAUCCAGCAGUGUUAUAUUUUUUAUAUCUUAAUGUAAAAACAGUGUGAUAUUAAAAUGAAUGCCAUUUCAAAUGCCUUUUCUUUUCAGUGUAGCAUUUUCUUUAUACUAUUGUUCUAACUUUCUGUAUUUUUAAGUAUGACCUGAAAUUAAAACUGACGUUUUUCUCUCUCGUCUUUGUUAGUUCAUGGUCCGACGUGUAAGUCUCAACUGUACAAAUCAUUAAAAUAAUAAACCGUU